rnacentral:rRNA from 1 species
CAGCCGCACGGGAAUACGUAGGUGGCAAGCGUUGUCCGGAAUUAUUGGGCGUAAAGGGCUCGCGGGCGGUUUCUUAAGUCUGAUGUGAAAGCCCCCGGCUCAACCGGGGAGGGUCAUUGGAAACUGGGAAACUUGAGUGCAGAGGAGGAGAGUGGAAUUCCACGUGUAGCGGUGAAAUGCGUAGAGAUGUGGAGGAACACCAGUGGCGAAGGCGACUCUCUGGUCUGUAACUGACGCUGAGGAGCGAAAGCGUGGGGAGCGAACAGGAUUAGAGACCCCCGUAGUCCCUGUCUCUUAUACC